GUGAAAACCUCUUAUUACAUCCACGGUGAAGACUCCGAGGACAAAUCCUGACAGGAAGAUCCCCCAAAAUUGCACAACUUUAUAGUGAAGAUUAUUGCCCCCUUGUGUGGUUUGAUGGUUCAGCAUUGUCAAUGCAUCAUGGUAAAUACAAAUACAUCACCACAGGGGCAUGUUCACCAUCAUGGUUCCUUGGGUUCAUGGCCAAAAAUGUGAACAAUCUCUCAAAUGCCAUCUUAACUGUGGAGCCUAAAAGAGCUGCACACUGAGAUGCAAAUGGCCUUCUUCUGUGAUCGUCUCAUCCAUGGAGCAGAGAGUAGAUAGAGAUUACCGUCACCCUACCACCACAAAGGAAGCAUUGUCUCGGUGAUCAGGUCCCUUCGUCAAGGACACUUAAGCAGUCACAUUCCUUGAGAUGAGCCCAAAAAAUGGCAUUUAAAGUGUCUGUCCUCCUCACAGGCUUUGAUAUUUAAAUGAAACAUGGCCCUGUACAAACAGGCGCCUCAGCUGAGGAAGAGGGGGGUGAGUAAAUCAGAUAGGAUUUCCCUCAGAUGAAAAGAGCUUGUCUGACAUUUUCACAGCGAGCGCUGAGGGACGCUGAGGCAAUGUUGGUUCGAUGUCAUGGUGGGAAGUUAUUGCUGUGUGGAAAAGGUUACCGUUUUCACCCCGCUUCCCUGGACAAACUACUAAAACACAGCAUGGAACCACCAGAUGAGCUGAGACUGGGGCGAAGAUGUAGCGGGCAUGAUCACAUCACACAAAAACAAAUCCAUCCCACCCUGCUGCAUUCCCCUCUUUAUUGUCACACUAGUUUGUUUUGCCUUUAAUGUUUUGGGGAACACUGACGGGCCCCUGGUGAUAGCUUCUGCUGAAGAGCCUAAACACAAAAGGACUUGCAAGGGGGUCAUAAUAGCAAAACCGUGGGACCUGAAUAGUUGAAUUUGGGGUGGUACCUUUAAUCAAAAUCACUGAAUUACACAUCUGACUGUUGUGGCGUAGCUUUCAUACUUCCUUAGAUCAAGAUUUCUCCCAUUGAGAACGUUUUCGACAGAAUAUCUCAUUCCCAUGCAGAUGGAAUGUGUGGAUUUGCUGCCAUCCAGAUUGAUGGGCACAGUCUGGUAUGCAAUUAAGGCAUAGCUGUCACUAAGAGGCUUUCCUGGGUGAUUAACUUGUAAGGGCUGUUGCAUCCAAGGAAGUCAACUGAACACAAUUAGCCUAUUUCGAGGGAAUAGAGUUUGGUUAAAGGCCACUGCUUGUAAAAUGAGGUGAGAGGAAAGAAGCUUCCCAAAGCAGACAACUGGAAACAGAGACGCUGGUUUCAUUGACCAGGGAGCGGAGAUCAAGGUCCACGGUGACGAUCAAUGUCAAUGUGCGUUCAUCGUUGCCUCUUCUUAUUUGAUGUUGGGUAAAGCUUCUG